GGCGGGGACGCCGGCGCCCGGCUGCUCACCCGGGACGACCGCCAGAGUAGGGCUGCGGGAAGAAGCUGGCCGGCGAGGGCACCGGGCUCGCGAGGUGAGGCGCGCGCCCCUCCUUGCUGUCGUCCGAGGUUUCUCAGAGGACGCUGGACGCACGCCCCUUUUCUGAGGCGGGAGGAGACACUUCCGAGCCAGCUGUGUGACAUCCGUUUACACAGCAGCGCUGACGUCUCGAGGUAUUAAAAAGUUAUGGUGCAGCUAUUGAAAACUGUAAACAACUGGAGCACAGAGGAGCUAUGUCUAACAUAAAGCAGAGAUCUGCAGAGAGGGCACAUCCUACCAGAAAAACUCCGAAGGAGGAGAGAGGAAGCAAGAGCCCUUCUCUCUGCUGGACCAUAGUGCUGGUGACCUCCCCACAGCAACUGGCUCCCUGUCAUCUCCUGCCUCCCCCAGCCCUCGCUCUCUACCAGGAAAAGUUAAGUUGUAUUAUUAUGGACCAUGCCUUCCUACCAAAAGGAAUUAGCCUCAUUCUGCAUGGCUUCAGAGGAUGCGAUUUAUAG
rnacentral:lncRNA from 1 species